rnacentral:tRNA from 1 species
GCGGCGCCCGCUCCGGUGCAGGUCAGGCGAGCACUAGAAAUGGCGCUCCGCGCCGCUAGAUCUUCCAAGCUGGCCAUGCGGGUUCGAUUCCCGUCGCCCGCUCCA